rnacentral:rRNA from 1 species
UACGUAGGGUGCAAGCGUUAAUCGGAAUUACUGGGCGUAAAGCGUGCGCAGGCGGUUUUGUAAGUCCGUCGUGAAAUCCCCGGGCUUAACCUGGGAAUGGCGAUGGUGACUGCAAGGCUAGAGUUUGGCAGAGGGGGGUAGAAUUCCACGUGUAGCAGUGAAAUGCGUAGAUAUGUGGAGGAACACCGAUGGCGAAGGCAGCCCCCUGGGUCAAAACUGACGCUCAUGCACGAAAGCGUGGGGAGCAAACAGG